rnacentral:rRNA from 1 species
UACGUAGGGUGCGAGCGUUGUCCGGAUUUAUUGGGCGUAAAGAGCUCGUAGGCGGUUUCGUAAGUCGAGUGUGAAAAAUCUGGGCUCAACCCAGUGGAGCACUCGAUACUGCGAUGACUAGAGUACGGUAGAGGAGUGUGGAAUUCCUGGUGUAGCGGUGAAAUGCGCAGAUAUCAGGAGGAACACCAACGGCGAAGGCAGCACUCUGGGCCGGUACUGACGCUGAGGAGCGAAAGCGUGGGGAGCAAACAGG